rnacentral:rRNA from 1 species
GACGAACGCUGGCGGCGUGCUUAACACAUGCAAGUCGAGCGGUAAGGCCCUUUCGGGGGUACACGAGCGGCGAACGGGUGAGUAACACGUGGGUGACCUGCCCUCAGCUCUGGGAUAAGCCUGGGAAACCGGGUCUAAUACUGGAUAUGACUCCAUGACGCAUGUUGUGGGGUGGAAAGCCUUGUGCGGCUGAGGAUGGGCCCGCGGCCUAUCAGCUUGUUGGUGGGGUGANGGCCUACCAAGGCGACGACGGGUAGCCGGCCUGAGAGGGCGACCGGCCACACUGGGACUGAGACACGGCCCAGACUCCUACGGGAGGCAGCAGUGGGGAAUAUUGGACAAUGGGGGCAACCCUGAUCCAGCGACGCCGCGUGGGUGAAGAAGGCCUGCGGGUUGUAAAGCCCUUUCGGUGGGGAAGAAAAGUCUCGACCCUAAUACGUCGGGACCUUGACGUAACCCACUAAAG